rnacentral:rRNA from 1 species
UAAAAAGACGGUCUCAGUUCGGAUUGAAGGCUGAAAUUCGCCUUCAUGAAGCUGGAAUUGCUAGUAAUGGCAGGUCAGCAUACUGCCGUGAAUACGUUCCCGGGCCUUGUACACACCGCCCGUCACACCAUGAGAGUUGGAAAUACCCGAAGCCUGUGAGCUAACUGUAAAGAGGCAGCAGUCGAAGGUAGAGCCAAUGAUUGGGGUGAAGUCGUAACAAGGUAUC